AGCUUUGCGCAGUGGCAGUAUUGUAGCCAAUGAGGUUUAUCCGAGGCACGAUUAUUGCUAAUUAGAAGUCUUAACGUUGUGAAAUAUCAAUUAUCUUCAAAUUGAUCUAUAGAUU
rnacentral:snRNA from 1 species